GGCUUCAGGCAGGGAAGGAGGCUAGUGGAGACCAAGGAGUCAGGGUUUGGAGCUCCACUCAAGAGGGAUUGGAAUUGAUGCGGGGGGCGGGCGGGGGGGGGGGUAAGACUAGAAUGUGGCCACAAGCUUCCCAAAACAGGAGCAGCUUUCAGAAGGCACGGAUGCCACCGAAAAGCUAAGUUGAUGGUCCUUCCCUGCAGGAGCCGCCCCCUGCCUGGUGCCCCGCUGCAGAGCCUGAUUGCUCAUUCGGGAGCGGUUUCUACUUGUAAUUUGUUGGCUCAAAGGUCGGAAUGGACGUCUUAGGAAGACAGAUUUCCUCUUGGCCAUUCCUUAGGGACCGAGCUCUCAAAACCAGUUGUGCCAAAUUUCAGCCCAAUUUGGGCCUGAGGUUCCCUCGGGGGUGGGCGUGGCUCACAAAGAAAACAGACAAGUUGCAGGGCUGCUGGGCUGUGUGUCCAGAGGGUCAGGUGGGGAAAAAGAGGGACAGGGAGGCCGACGGAGCCCCGGGAGGCAAGGAGACAGGGCACUUUAUAAAUCACCAGCUCCCUUUUAAAAAUGGAGUCUAACCUCCCUCAGCUUUGCUUUUGAAUUUAUUAGCAGCUUCAUUUCCCCGGGUAAUAAUUCAUUAUCUCGUUCCCAGCCCGAGAAGCAGUGCCGGCCCAGAAGUGACAUUCCCUUCCACACCUUUAAGUGAUACUCUUUCAGCUGUGUUAUCUUCAGAUCACUCUGGGCCUCGACCCCAGGCCCCCGCUGCGUCCGCACAGGCCCCGGCCCACCUCCUUUGCUGGUGCUCUUUCCACCAGGGCGCUCUCUGGGGCCCAAGCCCCUCUCCAUCGGGAAGCCAGCCGGCUGCCGGCAGCAGUGAAAGCUCGACUAACAAGGGAUGUGAUGAUGCUUUUUCAUCAGGCAAAAGUCCUUUUUCCUCAAAUCCCUUCUCUCCUCACGUCGCAGAAAAGACCCUCUCCUCACGGCCAAUAUGUCAGGCUGGAAACGAGGAUGGGGCUGCGUGUUAGAACCACCUGAUGUCCAAGGCCGGACCAGAUAAACUUGAAGCCAUGGGAGCAGGACCAGACAGCAGGAUGGUGAAAGUGCUCAGCUGAUCCCAGCCUGGGCUGGGUCUGAGCAUCACUGCCCCACAGCCUUAUUGCGUAAGCUCGGCCCGGGACCUCAACAUCGCUGGGAAUUUGUCAAAAAUGCUGGACCCUAGGGGCGCCUGGGUGGCUCAGUCGGUGAAGCAACCGACUUCAGCUCAGGUCACGAUCUCACGGGCCGUGAGUUCGAGCCCCGCGUCGGGCUCUGUGCUGACAGCUCGGAGCCUGGAGCCUGUUUCGGAUUCUGUGUCUCCCUCUCUCUCUGCCCCUCCCCUGUUCAUGCUCUGUCUCUCUCUGUCUCAAAAAUAAACAUUAAAAACUGCUGGACCCAA